rnacentral:rRNA from 1 species
GACGGACGCUGGCGGCGUGCUUAACACAUGCAAGUCGAACGGAAAGGCCCUGCUUUUGUGGGGUGCUCGAGUGGCGAACGGGUGAGUAACACGUGAGUAACCUGCCCUUGACUUUGGGAUAACUUCAGGAAACUGGGGCUAAUACCGGAUAGGAGCUCCUGCUGCAUGGUGGGGGUUGGAAAGUUUCGGCGGUUGGGGAUGGACUCGCGGCUUAUCAGCUUGUUGGUGGGGUAGUGGCUUACCAAGGCUUUGACGGGUAGCCGGCCUGAGAGGGUGACCGGCCACAUUGGGACUGAGAUACGGCCCAGACUCCUACGGGAGGCAGCAGUGGGGAAUAUUGCACAAUGGGCGGAAGCCUGAUGCAGCAACGCCGCGUGCGGGAUGACGGCCUUCGGGUUGUAAACCGCUUUCGCCUGUGACGAAGCGUGAGUGACGGUAAUGGGUAAGGAAGCACCGGCUAACUACGUG